rnacentral:rRNA from 1 species
CCAUGACUGACGCUGAGAGAUGACAGCUGAGGGAGCGAAUAGGAUUAGAUACCCUAGUAGUCUCAGCCGUAAACGAUGGAUACUAGAUGUUGCCACAAGCAGUGUCGAAGCUAACGCGUUAAGUAUCCCACCUGGGGAGUACGUACGCAAGUAUGAAACUCAAAGGAAUUGACGGGAAUUGACACAAGUGGUGGAUUAUGUGGUUUAAUUUGAUGCAACGCGGAGAACCUUACCAGGGAUUGACAUGGUGAGAAUCUUUCCGAAAGGGAAGAGUGCCCUUUGGGGAACUCACACACAGGUGAUGCAUGGCUGUCGUCAGCUCGUGCCGUGAGGUGUUUGGUUAAGUCCAAUAACGAGCGCAACCCUUGUUCGCUGUUAAAUGUCUGCGAAGACUGCCAGUGUAAACUGGAGGAAGGAAAGGAUGACGUCAAGUCAGCAUGCCCCUUACGUCCUGGCUACACACGUAAUACAAUGGGUGAGACAAUCAGAAGCGAUCUCGCGAGAGCUAGCGAAUCUGUUAAACUCAUCCUCAGUUCGGAUUGUAGGCUGCAACUCGCCUACAUGAAGCCGGAAUCACUAGUAAUCGCCAGUCAGCUAUAUGGCGGUGAAUACGUUCCUCAAUUUUGUACACACCGCCCGUCACACCACGAAAGUAAUGAUUGCCCAAAGUCGUUACCUUAACCUUUUUGGAGGGGGACGCCUACGGCAGUCGUG